rnacentral:rRNA from 1 species
UGUAUAAGAGACAGCCUGUGAGCGUUGAAAAGCUUUAGGAUGAGAUGUGGGUAGAGGUGAAAUUCCAAUCGAACGCGGAGAUAGCUGGUUCUCCCCGAAAUAGCUUUAGGGCUAGCCUCAAGUAGUAAGUAUAGGCGGUAGAGCACUGAUCGGGCUAGGGGCCAUAAAGGUUACCGAACCCUGUCAAACUCCGAAUGGUUAUACUGUAGAGCUUGGGAGUCAGACUACGAGUGAUAAGAUCCGUGGUCAAAAGGGAAACAGCCCAGACCACCAGCUAAGGUCCCCAAUGUCGUACUAAGUGGAAAAGGAUGUGGGGUCUCUAAAACAACCAGGAUGUUGGCUUAGAAGCAGCCACCAUUUAAAGAGUGCGUAAUAGCUCACUGGUCGAGAGACCCUGCGCCGAAGAUUACCGGGGCUAAAGUACGAAACCGAAGCUGUGGCUACGACGUAAGUCGUGGGGUAGGGGAGCGUUCUGUGAGGGCUGAAGUCGUUCUGUAAGGAACGGUGGACUUCACAGAAGUGAGAAUGUUGGUAUGAGUAGCGAAAAGAAUGGUGAGAAUCCAUUCCACCGAAAGCAUAAGGAUUCCUGGGCAACGAUCGUCGUCCCAGGGUAAGUCGGGACCUAAUCCGAGGCAUGGAGCGUAGGAGAUGGACAACUGGCAGAUAUUCCAGUACCGGUAAUGAUUGUUUGAGCGAUGGAGUGACACAGGAGGGCAGGCAGGCAGGAGAUUGGUUGUUCCUGUACAAGCGUGUAGGAUGGGACGUAGGCAAAUCCGCGUCCUCUGAGUCUGAGGCGUGAUGUGGAGGUUCCGGAAACGGAACUGAAGCUGCUGACCCCACACUGUCGAGAAAAGCUUCUAGUUAGAGAAUUACCGCCCGUACCGUAAACCGACACAGGUAUGCGAGGAGAGAAUCCUAAGGUGCGCGGGAGAACCCUCGUUAAGGAACUCGGCAAAAUGUACCCGUAACUUCGGGAUAAGGGUAGCCGCUGUUGUGAAGUCUGCACAGACGGAGCAUGAGGCGGUCGCAGAGAAGAGGCCCAAGCGACUGUUUACCACAAACACAGGUGCCUGCUAAAGAGAAAUCUGACGUAUAGGUGCUGACACCUGCCCAGUGCCGGAAGGUUAAGGAAGGAUGUCCGGAGCAAUCCAAAGCAUUCGACCGAAGCCCCGGUGAACGGCGGCCGUAACUAUAACGGUCCUAAGGUAGCGAAAUUCCUUGUCGGGUAAG